rnacentral:rRNA from 1 species
GAUGAACGCUGGCGGCGUGCCUAAUACAUGCAAGUCGAGCGAACGGACGAGAAGCUUGCUUCUCUGAUGUUAGCGGCGGACGGGUGAGUAACACGUGGAUAACCUACCUAUAAGACUGGGAUAACUUCGGGAAACCGGAGCUAAUACCGGAUAAUAUUUUGAACCGCAUUGUUCAAAAGUGAAAGACGGUCUUGCUGUCACUUAUAGAUGGAUCCGCGCUGCAUUAGCUAGUUGGUAAGGUAACGGCUUACCAAGGCAACGAUGCAUAGCCGACCUGAGAGGGUGAUCGGCCACACUGGAACUGAGACACGGUCCAGAGUCCUGAGGGAGGCAGCAGUAGGGAAUCUUACGCAAUGGGCGAAAGCCUGACGGAGCAACGCGGCGUGAGUGAUGAAGGUCUUCGGAUCGUAAAACUCUGUUAUUAGGGAAGAACAUAUGUGUAAGUAACUGUGCACAUCUUGACGGUAACUAAUCAGAAAGCCACGGCUAACUACGUG